ACCAUUUUGUAUCCCCGCCUUGGUGGUGGUGGUUGGGGGGGCCGUAGGCGCAGAAUGGCAGCCACGCUUCUGGGCAGCUGUGGCUACAUGAGUAGCCUACCACCAAGCACCAACAACAGAGCCUGUGCUGCAGCCACAUCAGGAUUGGCAAUGCAAUUGAAUAAAUGCACCCUCUGCCUCAGGCUGGAUAACAUGUGCCACUGAAUUUAAUAAACAAUUAACUUUCCCAUGAAGUGUCUCUGUUAUGUGGACCCACACACCGGGGUACAUCACCGAGCAAGGCGGGGACGUAUUCGACGACACCCCGGCCAGUCUCCAGGAUUCGUUCGCCCACGAGCUAGCUAGCUACCGGCUAGCAUCGAGUCAUUACAGCAUGAAAAAGCUCUGUGACAAUUCGGUGGCUAUAUUUCAGAAACCGGAGGCUUUAAGUGGAUAUAUUUUUGCAGCUCAAACGUACAGUAUAUGGAUGUGUAGGCAUAUGCUUCAUGUACGAAAGUAUUUGAUUGACAGGUGACAAUGGAACAGGGCGUGUAUUGAAUGCAUUCAGCGGACAUGCCUACAGCAUUUGAAAGCUGAGAACGUCUCAAUUGUUCACCCUUUUGAAGUCUGUUUUCAUAUACGUGCAGAUUUUUUUAUUGAUUAAAAUUUGGCAGGCUUCUUAAAAAUACUCUUCUCUGCGGUGUGUCAAAUUUAUGACAUUUUUAAACUCACUUUACAGGACUUUAAGAAUGCAAGUAAUGCCUCCCAGAGUUGAUGUUUGGAGGUACUGCAUAGAGUCAACCACCCUCAUAAAUCCUCCUUUCAUGAAUACUGUACUUCGCAGGUUCUCUAUAUGGUUGAGGUGACGAAAUGAUGGUGGCCACACAAUGAUUUUUUUUCUCUCCCUUUGUACUGUAUACAAAGCAGCUAAAGCAUCAAUUGCUUCUUUUGUAAUAAUUUAAGGUAAAUUUGACACCUCCAGGCACCCUAAAGGACCAUACCAUCCCACUCCCCAUUAUUCCAGCCCAAAACCUCUCCACCACCUCCUUCUGUCAUGGGUGUGUGUUCCGGUUGUUGUCUUCCCCCUGUCUCGUACACACCUGCUCCUGAGAGCAUCUUCACCACCUGUGCCUUUUUCACCCUAAUUACCCCUUGCAUUUAACCUCGUGUCUCAUUCUUUCUAGUCGCCAGUUCGUUGUACCUUGUCGUCGCGUUACAGCAUUCCUUGUUUCCACGCAACAGACUCACAGUAAGACUAGACCCUGUUCC